CACGUAGGGUGCGAGCGUUGUCCGGAAUUAUUGGGCGUAAAGAGCUCGUAGGCGGUGUGUCGCGUCGGCCGUGAAAACCUGCAGCUUAACUGUGGGCGUGCGGUCGAUACGGGCAUCACUGGAGUUCGGCAGGGGGAGACUGGAAUUCCUGGUGUAGCGGUGAAAUGCGCAGAUAUCAGGAGGAACACCGGUGGCGAAAGCGGCUCACUGGAUCUCUUCUGACGCUGAGGCACGAAAGCGUGGGGAGCAAACAGG
rnacentral:rRNA from 1 species